GUGGCAAAUCGGUACGACUAGCUCCUGCCAAACUCCCCCAGGUCCGGAAGGAAGCAAGGGUAGGCGGUUGUAGCAGUGCGAUACUCGGUUUGCCUUUUU
rnacentral:SRP_RNA from 1 species